rnacentral:rRNA from 1 species
UACGUAGGGCGCAAGCGUUGUCCGGAAUUAUUGGGCGUAAAGAGCUCGUAGGCGGUUUGUCGCGUCUGCCGUGAAAGUCCGGGGCUCAACUCCGGAUCUGCGAUGGGUACGGGCAGACUAGAGUGAUGUAGGGGAGACUGGAAUUCCUGGUGUAGCGGUGAAAUGCGCAGAUAUCAGGAGGAACACCGAUGGCGAAGGCAGGUCUCUGGGCAUUAACUGACGCUGAGGAGCGAAAGCAUGGGGAGCGAACAGG